ACCCGCUGAAUUUAAGCAUAUAAGUAAGCGGAGGAAAGGAAACUAAACAGGAAUCCCCCAGUAAUGGCGAAUGAACAGGGAUGAGCUCAGCAUGGAAAUCGGGGCCAGCGGUCUUGAGUUGUAGGCUGAAGAGGUUUCACCAACUAGGGCGCAGAUGUAAGCCUUUUGGAAAAAAGCAUCAGCGAGGGUGAGAGUCCCGCUUGGCAUCUGCAGUCCCCGGUGUACGGUGUUCCUUCUACGAGUCACGUUCCUUGGGAUUGGAGCGCAAAGUCGGUGGUAAGUUUCAUCUAAAGCUAAAUAUUGCUUUGGGACCGAUAGCGAACAAGUACCUUGAGGGAAAGGUGAAAAGGACUUUGAAAAGAGAGUUAAAAGUGCCUGAACUUGCUGAAAGGGAAGCGAAUGGAACCAGUCCCACGUGGCAAGAUUGUUGCACGCCAGAAUGAGCGUCUGUUACCUCAGCGCAAGCGGGGCUGCAGGCUUUGAGGAGGACGUGUGCUAUGUUUCUUGCCCUUCUGCCCACGCCUGUUCACGGGUGAGGAAAACUGCGGGGACGUGGAAACUUGCCUCUCGGUGAGUGGAAGUCUUUGUGGGAACUCACUCGUGGACUGGCUGGUGGCUGAAUGGUUCCAUCCGACCCGUCUUGAAACACGGACCAA
rnacentral:rRNA from 1 species